CGGGGCCAGGGGGCAACACUAACUGGACAGAAAGUGCGUCUGGGUGAUAGUGGCGGGUGAUAGCGGCCGUGUCUGAGUGCCAACACGUGACCUCCACACCAGAGGCGCCAUAGAUCUUGUCUGGCUCGAAAAUGGUGCAGAUGGCCAUGAUUCGAAGCUAGGGUCUGAGAACCGCGCCCUGGGCAGGUCACGGGAGUCGAGCGCCUCCAUCUUGUGGAAGGUGAAGAGCACCUCCUUGAGCUUCGCGGCUGCCCUGGCUGGGGGCCCCUGUGGACUGUGGAACGGAAACGUCCUCAUCUUGCGCCCAGCCACCUACCCUGCCACAUGCCCCCUCCACUAUGGUCAAGAUUUGGAAUCUAGAGUUGGAAAGACCUGUGUUUAAAGCCCUUUAAUCUGAGAUUUUCCAGAAGGAUCAUAUUAUCUCUGGUCCCUGAAGAGAUGGCUUCACCCACUGACUUAAGAAUUGAUGCUAUGUUUGAGCAUUUAUGUAAUACUUAAUUCUAAAGUUGCUGUUUUCAAAUGCACUGCCAUAUCUUUGGUAAAAGCCCUGCUAUAACAUGUGCCAUGUGGAUUAUCAUUUUGUAUAUAAGAAGCCAUGAGAAUGUUUGGAACACUGAGGGAAUUUGCACAAUUACUUCUGCCAGAUAAUUUAUUUCCUAACAUUCAUUUCCAUUUUUGCAUUAAUAUCCAGUAAAAUAAAGCAAAACUUCAUUGUC
rnacentral:lncRNA from 9 species